UUAGUCCUUAAAUCUGUUCACGACCAAAUGAUACGUUGUUAUCAAGGACGAUAAUGUUUAUCAAGCAUAGGUCGUUGUGUGCCAUAUAGGUUGGUUGUCCUCUUAACCAAUGAGUGUGGAGACACUGGUAUGGCAUACAGGUGAGAUGUAAGGGUACAUCUGCACUGAACGUGACCGACUCCAGAGCUAUUUCUGCUGUCAAGAUUUGCUCCGAUGGAAUAUGGGUAUAAAUGUCCCUCCGACCUGAGACCGCCACGAUGACUUGCAAGCAACUCACUGCACUUAGGCACUGGACUAUCUGAAUUUCUAAUUCAGUGACGGAAGGCUGUUGGGUGUAGUCAAGUACUUGACUUGUCGGUGCGUGUGUCAAGAUGGGAUUGACCACUCCAGUUUAGGAGCUAUGUACAGUCGUGUUUCAAUUUAGCAAA
rnacentral:lncRNA from 1 species